GAUGAACGCUGACAGAAUGCUUAACACAUGCAAGUCGAACGAGGUAAACAAGAUGAAGUUUUCGGAUGGUAUUCUUAUUUACCGAGUGGCGGACGGGUGAGUAACGCGUGGGUAACCUGCCUCGAUACAGGGGGAUAACGGUUAGAAAUGACUGCUAAUACCGCAUAAGCGCACAGUACCGCAUGGUACGGUGUGAAAAACUCCGGUGGUAAUGAGAUGGACCCGCGUCUGAUUAGCUAGUUGGUGAGGUAACGGCCCACCAAGGCGACGAUCAGUAGCCGACCUGAGAGGGUGACCGGCCACACUGGGACUGAGACACGGCCCAG
rnacentral:rRNA from 1 species